AUUGAACGCUGGCGGCAUGCCUUACACAUGCAAGUCGAACGGCAGCACGGGUGCUUGCACCUGGUGGCGAGUGGCGAACGGGUGAGUAAUACAUCGGAACGUACCUUAUCGUGGGGGAUAACGCAGCGAAAGCUGUGCUAAUACCGCAUACGCCCUGAGGGGGAAAGCGGGGGAUCGAAAGACCUCGCGCGAUUAGAGCGGCCGAUGCCUGAUUAGCUUGUUGGUGGGGUAAAAGCCCACCAAGGCGACGAUCAGUAGCUGGUCUGAGAGGACGAUCAGCCACACUGGGACUGAGACACGGCCCAGACUCCUACGGGUGGCAG
rnacentral:rRNA from 1 species